rnacentral:lncRNA from 1 species
ACAAGAAGAGGUUGUUCCUCCCGUAUCGAAGCCCAUCUCACCAGUCUCUGUCGUGUCUCCAGACCACGUGAGCGACAGCACCGUCUCUGCCCGGAUCUCAGACAACAGCCUGGCACCAGUGGCUGACUUCAGUUAUCCUGCAGAAUCCUCCUCCUGCCUGGACAACUCUGCAGCUAAGCACAAGCUCCAGGUCAAGCCCCGCAACCAGCGGUCGAGUAAGAUGAG